GCCAGAGAUUUCAUGUUCUGGAUGAGAAGCCAUGUGGAAAAAGCCCACAGUUGGGGAGAAUCCUGGGCUUCUUAGAGAUCUCUGAUUUAUGCCCAAAGAACUCUACAAAGUGGUAAGGAAACUGCCUAUAGUAAAUUGGGGUGUAUGAAAAAGGCAGACCCUGGACCUUCAGUUUUUGGUUGAGGUGUGGAAAGAUAUAGAAAUGAACCAGUGACCUUGGAGAUAAGCAACAUAAAUGUACGCAAGGAGAAGUUGAAAUGUACCUGAAGUUAUACAAAAAAUCUCUAUUCUAGACCCGGAGGCCACAGCAUGGUGUGAAGGAUAUAUCAGUUUAACUAAAAAAUGCUGACUUCCUGUUCUGUGAACGGUUUCCGCGUCAGUCUUGACACAACCUGGACUCAAGAAAAGUGUGGGGGGAAUAGAAAUGUUCUUCAAUGGAAUUACUCCUGGCUUUUGCUGGCGUAAGUGAGAAGACUCCAGACCUACAGCUGUAAUGUAAUGACUCCAAACCAGUGACUGGCAAAUUAUAAUCUGUUCCAGAGUACUUGGCUGCAGCAGAUCACUAACCGUUUGGAGAGGGACGAGAAAUAGAAUUUUCCUGGUUGGCUGGUAGGCUAUGGUGAAAUAGAAAGCUACACGUCCAACUUUAGCCACUUGAAAAUGAGGUGGCUUCUUCGAGGAGCACGCUGUGCUUUGGAUGGGCUGGAGUGGCAUUACAGAGCUCAGCUAUAUUCUCCCAUGGUGUGUUUCUGACCUCCUGUGUCUACAUAUGGACUGACUACCCACAAUACGCAGUACAGGAUCUUGGCCAGCAUUGACUGAGGGGAUCUCUGUGAUUUACUCCAUAUGAUCUUUGGCCUGCACUCUUCCAAUGAAACUGCAAAACUCAGCUCCUAGAGCCAUCUGCCUGUUCAGCUCCAGUAAGAACCCUUGCCUUCCCAUGUCGGAAUAUCUGUAAAUGGUUGAACCAGUUCUUCUUUAGGAAACUUCUCUCUGGGGCAAUGUCAUCUGCAGUCUUAGGUCAGGAUGGCCAUUGGACGUGAGCAGUAUAUGUUGGCUAACUAAUGCACCAACACAUCAAAAUGAAGAUUUAAUUUUGUCAGAAGAGCCCUGAGGUUUUCCAGGCUCCAUUAAUUUGUUUCCCCAGGAGCGAUAAAAGCACGGAAAGUCUGCAACCUAAAUACAUCCAUCAAAAGAAUUUCAAUUCCUGAAUUUGAAAAGGAAGCAUCAACAACACUGAAAGCAAAAACAAUUGUGGAAGAUCUGAAAUCAAGGGCAAGCUUCAUGGAAUUCAAAUGGAAAUAAUAUUGUGCGUUAUCGCUGUACUCUUGUGCACUUGUGUUUUAAUUGUCUGUAGUUAUACAUUUGCAAGUCCUGACCGCUUUAGAUCCUCUCAGGCUAAGUUUACUCAUUAUCAACUGUUGCUGAAUCUUUUGGAGACUUUGGGACUGAUGUUUAAAGGUGUUUAGGUGCCUAAAAAUGCAGAUAGGCACCUAGUAGGAUUUUCAAAACCACCCGCCUGCAUCUUUGGGCCAGAUUUUUACUUAAAGUCUGCUGCACUUUGUGUGGCAAUGCCUAGCUUAUUUAGGAACCUAAAUCUCAUUUCCAAAAAAAGAUUUAGGCAUUUAGAUGUAAAAUCCCAUUGACUAAGUGCCUAAAUCCCUUUUGAAAAUGAGAUUUAACCUCUUAAAUCAGCUAGCGUUUAGGAGCUAGUCACCUAAAUCAGUUAGGGGUUCCUUCACUCAGUGUUACAAUGCCUAUUUAUUUUUUAAAGUCUGGGCCUUUGUUAUUAAAGUAGUACCAAAAAUCCAUCUCUCAUAUUCCACAGAGGAUGUUGGAUAAGAGGCAGAAAUGGUGACUACUCCAGAUGUUCUCAUGCUACAACAAAGGCUUUCUGAAGCUUGCUUGCCAACUCUGUAUUGUCUCUAGAGGAUUUCCAAAAGGGAACUGUGGUCUGAGUAGAGAGAGCAUUUUAGCAUACUGCAUGAUAAAUGCAGAUGAUAUCUCCAAAUGUGGAGAAAUAAAGUUAAUAGGUGAAAAAGAUGCCUCCUCUGUUUUUGGAAU